GGGCUCGUAGCUCAGUGGUUAGAGCGGUCGGCUCAUAACCGAUUGGUCGCAGGUUCGAAUCCUGCCGAGCCCAC
rnacentral:tRNA from 1 species